rnacentral:rRNA from 1 species
UGGGGAAUCUUGGACAAUGGGGGCAACCCUGAUCCAGCCAUGCCGCGUGGGUGAUGAAGGCCUUAGGGUCGUAAAGCCCUUUCGCUGGGGAAGACAAUGACGGUACCCAGAGAAGAAGCCCCGGCUAACUCCGUGCCAGCAGCCGCGGUAAUACGGAGGGGGCUAGCGUUGUUCGGAAUGACUGGGCGUAAAGCGCGCGUAGGCGGAUCAUCAAGUCGGGGGUGAAAUCCCGGGGCUCAACCCCGGAACGGCCUUCGAGACUGGUGGUCUUGAGUUCGAGAGAGGUGGGUGGAAUUCCGAGUGUAGAGGUGAAAUUCGUAGAUAUUCGGAGGAACACCAGUGGCGAAGGCGGCCCACUGGCUCGACACUGACGCUGAGGCGCGAAAGCGUGGGGAGCAAACAGG